GACGAACGCUGGCGGCGUGCUUAACACAUGCAAGUCGAACGGUGCAGGGAUCAGCUUGCUGGUUCUGGUUGAGUGGCGAACGGGUGAGUAACACGUGAGUAACCUGCCCCCUUCUUCUGGAUAACCGCAUGAAAGUGUGGCUAAUACGGGAUAUUCUGCGCCUGCUGCAUGGUGGGGGUGGGAAAGAUAUUGUUUCGGUGGGGGAUGGGUUCGCGGCCUAUCAGCUUGUUGGUGGGGUGAUGGCCUACCAAGGAGGGGAAGGGUAGCCGGCCUGAAAGGGUGAUCGGUCGCACGAGAGCUGGGACACGGCCCAGGCUCCUACGGGACGGAGCAGACGGGUACAGGACGCAGUAGGGGCGAACCUGGUACAGCGGCGGCGAGUGAGAGAUAGAGGCGUUCGGGUAGUGAUGCUGUUUCGAGAGUGAUGCAGGCCUGUUACUUGUGAGGGGGUUGACGGUAGCUGGAUAAGAAGCGCCGGCUAACUACGUG
rnacentral:rRNA from 1 species